rnacentral:rRNA from 1 species
AUGAACGCUGGCGGCGUGCCUAAUACAUGCAAGUCGAGCGCACGGACGAGAAGCUUGCUUCUCUGAUGUUAGCGGCGGACGGGUGAGUAACACGUGGAUAACCUACCUAUAAGACUGGGAUAACUUCGGGAAACCGGAGUUAAUACCGGAUAAUAUUUUGAACCGCAUGGUUCAAAAGUGAAAGACGGUCUUGCUGUCACUUAUAGAUGGAUCUGCGCUGCAUUAGCUAGUUGGUAAGGUAACGGCUUACCAAGGCAACGAUGCAUAGCCGACCUGAGAGGAUGAUCAGCCACACUGGAACUGAGACACGGUCCAGACUCCUACGGGAGGCAGCAGUAGGGAAUCUUGCACAAUGGGCGAAAGCCUGACGGAGCAACGCCGCGUGAGUGAUGAAGGUCUUCGGAUCGUAAAACUCUGUUAUUAGGGAAGAACAUAUGUGUAAGUAACUGUGCACAUCUUGACGGUACCUAAUCAGAAAGCCACGGCUAACUACGUG